AAAGUAUGGGGUCAGAUUUGUUUCGUAUUUCUGAAUAAAUAUACUAUGAUCCACAAAUAAAUAUAGAGAGUUUCAUAAAUAUUUUUUAAAUCCACAAAUGCACAAUAAGCGAACCAUAAAUAUAUGUUAGACAUUUCAUAAAAAGGAAGGAAAUUCACAAAUAAAUAAAAUGGGAUUUGCAAAUGAAAAAAUAUUUAUAAAUAUAUAUUUUUAUUUUAUUUAUAUGUGAAUGGCUUCCUGCGCAUUUGUGGAUCGCUUUCUGUGCAUUUGUGAAUCGCUGCACACAAUUGUGGAUCGCUUUCUGUGCAUUUGUGAAUUGCUGCACUCAUUUGUGGAUCGCGUUCUGUGCAUUUGUGGAUUUGAAACAUUUCUAACAUCAAGAUGUGCACAAGAAUCCACAAAUAGGUGGACUCCGCCCACGUCUACUCCAGCCAAUCAGACAACAAGCACACUGUGCUGACCAAUCGUGGCACGAUCUCCCUUCAACCAAUCACAGAGUCUUUUCUAGAAACAUUGUGCAAAAGACCCAGACGGAGGAGGACUUUUAUUAUGACAGCGAGUAUCGCUCACUCAAAGCAAUGGCGGAAGAGCGCUAGUUUUGUACAAGUGUCUCGCUGUUUGAGGCAUGAAUCGUGUUGUUGGCGAUACAUACAUGGAGAGUUACGCGGUGUGUUCAUGUGCGUCAUUAAAGAAACUACAUCUCCACCUGCCUAUGAUCUGGCUAAGCUCUCAAAUAUAGCCAGGCACUCAUGCAUCUCCAUUCACAUGCCAUGCAACCAAGCUCAUAAAUACAGCUCUGGCCUAUCUCUCUUAAAGGAGCAUACCCUCAUCCUGUGCAGAGCUUCAUUAAAGGACUUCUACCAAUAUUCACCAUUACCUUCAUCAACGACUGCUCUGCUAUCCAAGUUGUGCCUCUCAUUCAGAGUUCUGUGCGGUGUGUGCUACCCUUAUAAAUACUGAAUGCUGGCUCUCUCCUAUCUAAUGUAUGUUCUCUUGUGUGCCUAAUAAACAGCUCAAGUUGCUUCAA